AGGCUUACGACGAUUUCCUGUAAAAGGAUCUUAGCGGAUUUCUGUGAGCCGAAUCGUCGUCCGUGAAUCGUGAUCUCCAUAUGUUGUUACACACACCGAAGCCU
rnacentral:snoRNA from 1 species